rnacentral:misc_RNA from 1 species
GGAAACAGCUGCUCUCACAACAUUAUCCAAGCUACCAGUUUAGCAUGCAGUAUUACAUCUUAUUUUAUAUCCCUCUUGAGUAACCUGAAUACAUAGUUCAAACUAACAAAACUUUGCAGCUCAUCUCGACACUCAUAUCGACGAUGCUCAUAAAAGCCUACCCUCUAGUAGGGCUCUACGGGUGCUCUGAACUUGGCUCCAGCAUAGACUGCAC